rnacentral:rRNA from 1 species
UACGAAGGGGGCUAGCGUUGCUCGGAAUUACUGGGCGUAAAGCGCACGUAGGCGGCUUUCUAAGUCAGGGGUGAAAUCCUGGAGCUCAACUCCAGAACUGCCUUUGAUACUGAGGAUCUUGGGUACGGGAGAGGUGAGUGGAAUUCCGAGUGUAGAGGUGAAAUUCGUAGAUAUUCGGAAGAACACCAGUGGCGAAGGCGACUCACUGGACAUGUAUUGACGCUGAGGUGCGAAAGCGUGGGGAGCAAACAGG